AUUGAACGCUGGCGGCAUGCUUUACACAUGCAAGUCGAACGGUAACAGGCCUUCGGGUGCUGACGAGUGGCGAACGGGUGAGUAAUGCAUCGGAACAUACCCAGUCGUGGGGGGAUAACGUAGCGAAAGUUACGCUAAUACCGCAUACGUCCUGAGGGAGAAAGCGGGGGAUCGCAAGACCUCGCGCGAUUGGAGUGGCCGAUGUCUGAUUAGCUAGUUGGCGGGGUAAGAGCCCACCAAGGCGACGAUCAGUAGCUGGUCUGAGAGGACGACCAGCCACACUGGGACUGAGACACGGCCCAGACUCCUACGGGAGGCUG
rnacentral:rRNA from 1 species